rnacentral:rRNA from 1 species
GACAGAGGGGGCAAGCGUUGCUCGGAAUCACUGGGCGUAAAGGGCGCGUAGGCGGGGGGGCAAGGCGGUCGUGAAAUCCUCGGGCUCAACCCGAGGGGGUCGGCCGCGACUGCCGUUCUUGAGGGAGGCAGAGGAGUCUGGAAUUCCCGGUGUAGCGGUGAAAUGUGUAGAGAUCGGGAGGAACACCGGUGGCGAAGGCGGGACUCUGGGCCUUACCUGACGCUGAGGCGCGAAAGCGUGGGGAGCAAACGGGAUUAGAUACCCCGGUAGUCCACGCGGUAAACGAUGACGACUAGGUGUGGGGGGGUUCAGUCCCUUCCGUGCCGCAGCUAACGCAUUAAGUCGUCCGCCUGGGGAGUACGGCCGCAAGGUUGAAACUCAAAGGAAUUGACGG